AGAAUCAAAGAGAAUGAAAACAAGAAAAUGGAAAAGAUAUCAGUAUAGACAACUAAAUAGAAGGGCAGAUACACGCCACAAAUAACGUGUACUGUAUGGUUGUCUUGUAUCUAGGGGAAGAUGCAAGAUAAUAGACUCAAGAGGGAUUUCAUCUAAAAUUUAUGUUUCAUUCUGAUUGUUAAUUACUUGUUAUCGGUUAUGUUUCCUUUCUUCUUUCUUUUUUUGAUAAUUUGUUCGGUAUGUCCACAUCAGUCUGAGUUAUAAUUUUGAUAGGUUAAAAAACAGUCCGAUAUUUUUCUGUAUCAACCA
rnacentral:lncRNA from 1 species